rnacentral:lncRNA from 1 species
CAAAGUUUUCCAGUACAGAGUCCACACUGGUUUCAUAUGUGAUGAGGAGACAAGCAAACACUGGAGAACAGCAGUAGAUACGACACCGAUAAGCAAGAAAGAAAAAUUAAGGACAAAAAGACGGAGCUGUUUCUAAAAAAUCAGAUGGUGCACUUGAAAAUAAUACCAUAAAGGCUCAUUUUUUUAAACAAUUAUUGAUUACACCCUGGGGAUUUUUCAAUUCCACUUGAUGCUGCUUUUAAAAUGGUAAGUACCUACAUAAUUCUAUGAUUUAUAGACUGCUUAGAUUUUAUAGAUAAU